GGCGAACGCUGGCGGCGUGCUUAACACAUGCAAGUCGAACGGAAAGGCCCUGCUUUUGUGGGGUGCUCGAGUGGCGAACGGGUGAGUAACACGUGAGUAACCUGCCCUUGACUUUGGGAUAACUUCAGGAAACUGGGGCUAAUACCGGAUAGGAGCUCCUGCUGCAUGGUGGGGGUUGGAAAGUUUCGGCGGUUGGGGAUGGACUCGCGGCUUAUCAGCUUGUUGGUGGGGUAGUGGCUUACCAAGGCUUUGACGGGUAGCCGGCCUGAGAGGGUGACCGGCCACAUUGGGACUGAGAUACGGCCCAGACUCCUACGGGAGGCAGCAGUGGGGAAUAUUGCACAAUGGGCGGAAGCCUGAUGCAGCAACGCCGCGUGCGGGAUGACGGCCUUCGGGUUGUAAACCGCUUUCGCCUGUGACGAAGCGUGAGUGACGGUAAUGGGUAAAGAAGCACCGGCUAACUACGU
rnacentral:rRNA from 1 species